AGACCUAUGAAGGUCGAAGGGGAAGAAAAGCUGUAUCGAUUGUUGAGAUCUGGCGACUUGUUUAAAUUUCAUCAGCCUCACUUCUAUGAACUCUCAGAGCUGAUUACCAACUCCUACCACUGUUAACCCUCAUCCAGGAACAAGCUUAUGUCUUUAACAUUCUGAGUGGGCUUCAGCAUCCUUGCAUAUGUUCAAUUCUUAAAAACCUGUUGAAAUAAAAGAUCAGGAGACAUAGGAAGGAUGCCAGAAGAGAGCGUGGCCUCACGUGUACCAGCUCUCUGCUCUCCUUUGCCUUGGGACGUUCCAUCCCUGGAAGUUUCCCUGCCCACAUCUUUGUAGAGAGUCCAUUCUCCAAGCUUCAGUGUGUCAUCUGUGAGGACCGUGACCCACCUGGUACAUCGCCUCAGGGCAUUCAUUUCAGGCUCCUUCUAAAUGGCCAAGGAUCUUGGAAGCAGAGGGAUCUGCAGAAGUGCUUGCAACACUUUCAGCCUUAACCAGCAUCAGAGACAAAAAUCCUUUCUGGAAUGAGGCCAUGAGAGAAGCAGUACCUUAUAAUGGUUCCUUGUUCAAAGCACUCAAUAUUCCUAGGAUGUGGUCUCCCAGCUGACUUCAUAACUGAAUCAUCAGUAAUUAAUUUCAUUGUUCUAUUAGAUGACCUCAACCUCUUGGCCAUUUGCUCUGUGUUUCACACAGGACUUUACUGAAGACUCUAAGGAGGACCUGUAUCUGUUGGGAUCCUCAGGGCAAGCCACAGAAACAAGCUUUGGAUACUAGAAGCAGAAAAUGGAGAUAUUGAAGACUAUUGUGGAGUUUACUGUGAGCCAGAGAACCAGGCUGGGGGGCUGUAUCACUUAGAAUGAGAUCCAAACUCACACCAUAGUUCCAUCCUUGAGGUUGCCAUGUUGCUGCCACCCCUCCUGCCACCCCACCACUGAAGCUUUGGAUGCUGGAUUCUGGGCACAGCAGGGAGAAGUGUUGCUUAUUACCAUUUUAGUAUGUUUUCUUUCAAGACCUUUUCAAAAUAUACAUACGUAUUUUUAUUUCU
rnacentral:lncRNA from 1 species